rnacentral:rRNA from 1 species
CACGUAGGGUCCGAGCGUUGUCCGGAAUUACUGGGCGUAAAGAGCUCGUAGGUGGUUUGUCGCGUUGUUCGUGAAACUCACAGCUCAACUGUGGGCGUGCGGGCGAUACGGGCAGACUGGAGUACUGCAGGGGAGACUGGAAUUCCUGGUGUAGCGGUGGAAUGCGCAGGAUAUCAGGAGGAACACCGGUGGCGAAGGCGGGUCUCUGGGCAGUAACUGACGCUGGAGGAGCGAAAGCCGUGGGGAGCGAACAGG